rnacentral:misc_RNA from 1 species
UACGUAGGGUGCAAGCGUUAUCCGGAUUUAUUGGGCGUAAAGAGCUCGUAGGCGGUUAGACACGUCGGAUGUGAAAACUGGUGGCUCAACCACCAGCCUGCAUUCGAUACGGUCUGACUUGAAUGUGGUAGGGGUAACUGGAAUUCCUGGUGUAGCGGUGAAAUGCGCAGAUAUCAGGAGGAACACCGAUGGCGAAGGCAGGUUACUGGGCCAAUAUUGACGCUGAGGAGCGAAAGCGUGGGGAGCGAACAGG